UACCUACUUCUGUAGAGCAGUCUCUCGUGG
rnacentral:piRNA from 1 species